rnacentral:rRNA from 1 species
AGGACGAACGCUGGCGGCGUGCUUAACACAUGCAAGUCGAGCGGAAAGGCCCUUCGGGGUACUCGAGCGGCGAACGGGUGAGUAACACGUGAGUAACCUGCCCUAGGCUUUGGGAUAACCCCUCGGAAACGGGGGCUAAUACCGAAUAUUCAUCUGGAUGGCAUCAUCUGGUGUGGAAAGUUUUCGGUCCUGGGAUGGGCUCGCGGCCUAUCAGCUUGUUGGUGGGGUGAUGGCCUACCAAGGCGACGACGGGUUA